rnacentral:rRNA from 1 species
UGGUGAGUAACGCGUAAGGAACCUGCCUUUUAGAGGGGAAUAACAAUGAGAAAUCAUUGCUAAUACCGCAUAUGCCAUAGUUAUCACAUGAUAACAGUGGGAAAGGAGCAAUUCGCUAAAAGAUGGCCUUGCGUCUGAUUAGAUAGUUGGUAAGGUAACGGCUUACCAAGUCGACGAUCAGUAGCCGGACUGAGAGGUUGAACGGCCACAUUGGGACUGAGAUACGGCCCAGACUCCUACGGGAGGCAGCAG